GUUCACACUGCCCACAUAUUUAAGCCCUUUCAUUUCAGAAUUGCCGUCAUCUAUUGCCACCUCACCUCCCUGCUCAUCCUAGGCUAUUCAUUAAACACCUUUUUUCAUGGCUACCCCACCAUCUCUCCUUUAGCACUCCUUCCCUCAUACUUGGGGACUUUAACAUCCCAAAUCAACAACCUCAACUGCCCUGAUGGUUCCCAUCGGCAUUCUGUAACCUCCUCCUUUGGCCUCACACAGUGGUCUACUUCAGCAACUCAUACAGCAGGAAACACUCUUGACCUCAUCUUCACCAAUCUCUGUACCACUCCUGUACCUCUAAUCUUUCCAAUGUUCCAUUUCCUUAGUUUGACCACCAUCUGCUGACCUUUGACAUCAG